UACGGAGGGCGCAAGCGUUGUUCGGAAUCAUUGGGCGUAAAGCGCGUGUAGGCGGCCUUUUAAGUCGGAUGUGAAAGCCCGGGGCCCAACCCCGGAAUUGCAUUCGAUACUGAUUGGCUGGAGUCCCGGAGAGGAAGGCGGAAUUCCCGGUGUAGGGGUGAAAUUCGUAGAUAUCGGGAGGAACAUCAGUGGCGCAGGCGGCCUUCUGGACGGUGACUGACGCUGAGACGCGAAAGCGUGGGGAGCAAACAGG
rnacentral:rRNA from 1 species